GUUGAACAAAACAAUUACUAUAGGUUUAUUUGGAAUUUGAUGCUAGGCUCCUUGAUUAUAAUAUUCAACACAUGUCCAAUAAAUACUCUUUGCCAUGGCCUACAAUUCUGGUUCUAUAUAACAUAUAGAUGUUUUGAUAUUUAUCCUAAAUUUGCAAGCUUUGGGAGCUACUAAUGCAGUGGUUGGUUAACCUUAGUAAACUGGCCCUGUAUUCUUAGAAUUUAAACAAACAAUGUGCAUGAUAAAUAUUUGCUACUAUUUGUGAUGCUGUUGUAGAUGGCCAUUGAGAGCAUUUCUGCUUUAACUGAAGGGUGUUUUCCUACUUUUGUCAUAUACAAAGCGAGCCUCCUUUUGUUUCCUGAUCACAGCUCUAAUUUUCCCUGCUGGAUGAAUUCAGCAAGUGGAGAAUCUGGAGGCUUUAACAUUAGCAGAAUCUACAAAGCGCCAGAGGGGCACAAAACCUGCACAGGGAACAUUUGCUCUUCAGGCUUGGCGGUGUGGUUGCCACAGCUACCAAAGCUGCUGAUUUCUCUGCUUCGUGUUCACGUGGGAAGAGAAGCUCUCAAGCACAACUUAGCCCAAAUGGUAAGGUGUUGGACAUGAUGCUGGAAAUUGCUGCUGCCAUUCUUGCCGCAUGAAGUCAGCCAAAUAAAACAAAGCUGAUGUAAGAAGAAAGCAGAGUCAAAUUAUACACAAAGACAGACGGAACUCUGAUGAUGAUGUCACAAACCUACAUACACUACAGUUGUAAUCUGUAUUUAAGUAAGUCCAUAUACUUGCUUUAUUACUUAAACCAGUUUAGCUGGGUUUUCUGUUACUUGCAACCAAAGCAAACUAAUUGCCUUACAUAGCAUACCAUAAGUUCCACUUUGUUUUCUUACACCAUACAUCUGAAAUAGCCUUGAAACCAGCCCAUGCAAUGUAAAUAAUAAGGUCCUGAAAGUUGCCAGCUAGAUCAAUGUUGACAAAGGAAAGAGGCCACUCAAUAGGCAAAUUUAUUACAAAAGUAGAUGGAUGCCAAAUAAACACUGUGGAAGAUUACUAUCCUAGUAAUACGAUUCUAAUUAUUUCUUUAAG
rnacentral:lncRNA from 1 species